rnacentral:misc_RNA from 1 species
GAAAUUUACUCUUUCUUCCUGUGUGUCUUAUACCUCCCAUGUUGGGUCAAGUAGCUAAUGACUUUUCCUUUGUGCAAAGCCAUCAAGAACAUGAUCAUCAACUUCCAUCUGAAGGAUUGUCCCGUGUCAGGUUUCUUUUUACUCCAUUCACCAUCUUAUGUAUUUUAUUUGUUACAUUCGCACAUUUGUGGCAUUAAUAGAAUAUUGCCUAAAAGUCGAGUCAUUUGCUCCUGUUUUUCCUCUUUAUUUUCUUUUCUUUUUUGGCAUACUAUCUCUUUUCAGAUAUUUUUGUUCUAGCAUCGUUUUGCUUAUUUGGAUUAAGAUUUACAGUAUGUUUGGAUUGAGUGUGUGGAGGUUUUUUAAAGGAAGGUAAGCUAUCUUAAUAGAAGGGAAGGUAUGAAAACCUCUCCGAUCCACCAAUUUGGUGGGUUGAAA